rfam:Eggerthia catenaformis OT 569 = DSM 20559 genomic scaffold acdBZ-supercont1.2, whole genome shotgun sequence.
GGUCAGGAAAGAAAGGGCGUAUGGCGGAUGCCAUAGGCGCGCGAAGGCGAAGAAGGACGCAGCAAGCGGCGAAAUGCGCCGGGGAGCCGCAGGCAGGCAAAGAUCCGGCGAUAUCCGAAUGGGGGAACCCGCUCCUCUAAGAGGGGAGCACCGCGGGGCGAACGAAAGGGGCCCCGCAGGAGCGAGACGCAGGGAAGUGAAACAUCUGAGUACCUGUAGGAAGAGAAAUCAAAAGAGAAUCCGUAAGUAGCGGCGAGCGAAAGCGGACGAGCCCAAACCGCAGAGAUGCGGGGUAGAAGGAGCUGCGAAGAGCGGAAUUGAAGGCGUCAGGGGAAUGGGCAGGGAAGCCCAUCCGGAGAGGGUGAGAGACCCGUACCCGAAGGCGCAAGCGAGGAAGCGAGCAGAGAUCCUGAGUACGGCGGGACACGAGGAAUCCUGCCGGAAGCAUCGGGGACCAUCCCGAAAGGCUAAACACUAGCGCGCGACCGAUAGCGAACGAGUACCGUGAGGGAAAGGUGAAAAGAACCCCGGGAGGGGAGUGAAAGAGAACCUGAAACCAUAUGCCUGCAAGAAGUCAGAGCCCCGCAAGAGGGUGAUGGCGUGCCUUUUGUAGAAUGAGCCGGCGAGUUGCCGUGCGCGGCGAGGUUAAGCAGAAGAUGCGGAGCCGGAGCGAAAGCGAGUCCGAAGAGGGCGGAAGUCGCGCGGGGCAGACCCGAAACCGGGUGAGCUAGCCAUGGGCAGGUUGAAGUCGGGGUAAGACCCGAUGGAGGACCGAACCGACCCCCGUUGAAACGUUGGCGGAUGACCUGUGGCUAGGGGUGAAAUUCCAAACGAACCCGGAGAUAGCUGGUUCUCCCCGAAAUAGCUUUAGGGCUAGCGUCGCGCGGUGGCUGGGGAAGGUAGAGCACUGAAUAUGCGAUGGCCGCAUCCCGCGGUACUGAGCAUAAUCAAACUCCGAAUGUUCCCAGAGGAGAAGCGCGGCAGUCAGUCUGCGGGUGAUAAGGUCCGUAGACGAGAGGGAAACAGCCCGGACCAGCAGCUAAGGUCCCAAAGUGCAUGCUAAGUGGAAAAGGAAGUGGAGAUGUGCAGACAGCUAGGAGGUUGGCUCAGAAGCAGCCAUCCUUGAAAGAGUGCGUAACAGCUCACUAGUCGAAUGACUCCGCGCCGAUAAUUUACCGGGGCUAAGCAUGACACCGAAGCUCUGGGCAGGAGACUGCGGUAGGGGAGCGUUCCAUGCAGCGGCGAAGGCAGACCGGAAGGGCGGCUGGAGCGCAUGGAAGAGAGAAUGCCGGCGUGAGUAGCGAAAUGUGGGUAAGAAUCCCACACACCGAUUGCCCAAGGAUUCCAGGGGAAGGUUCGUCCACCCUGGGAGAGUCGGGACCUAAGGUGAGGCCGAGAGGCGCAGCCGAUGGAAGACGGGUGGAGAUUCCCGUACCCGUAUGGCGGUGAAGGAGUGACGGAGAAGCAAGGCGGUGCCGGCGGACGGAAGAGCCGGUGUAAGCGAGAGACCCGGAGACCAGGGAAAACCGGUUUCUGAUAAGGGGAAGGCGUGACGCAUACGGAAAGCUGAGGCAAGUACGGAAAGCCGAGGAGCAUCUUCCAGGAAAAGCUUCUAGCAAUAACGACAUACGGCCCGUACCGAAAAUGGACACACAUGGGCAGGGAGAGAAUCCCGAGGUGAGCGAGAGAACUGCAGCCAAGGAACUCUGCAAAAUGACCCCGUAACUUAGGGAGAAGGGGUGCUCGCUGAGAGGCGAGCCGCAGAAAAAUGGCCCAAGCGACUGUUUACCAAAAACACAGCUCUCUGCGAAGGCGCAAGCCGAAGUAUAGGGGGUGACGCCUGCCCGGUGCUGGAAGGUUAAGGGGAGGAGUGAGCGAAAGCGAAGCUCCGAGCCGAAGCCCCAGUAAACGGCGGCCGUAACUAUAACGGUCCUAAGGUAGCGAAAUUCCUUGUCAGGUAAGUUCUGACCCGCACGAAAGGCGUAACGAUUUGGGCGCUGUCUCGGCUGCAGACUCGGUGAAGUCUUAGUGCCUGUGAAGAUGCAGGCUGCCCGCGACUAGACGGAAAGACCCCAUGGAGCUUCACUGCAGGUUGGCAUUGGACCUGGGUGCGUGAUGUACAGGAUAGGCGGGAGGCAGAGAACCCGGCGCGCAAGCGCAGGGGGAGCCGACGUUGGGAUACCGCCCUUGGCGCAUCUAGGCUCUAACCGGACGCCGGAGACGGGCGACGGGACAGUGCCAGCCGGGCAGUUUGACUGGGGCGGUCGCCUCCUAAAGAGUAACGGAGGCGCCCAAAGAUACCCUCAGCAUGGAUGGAAACCAUGCAGCGAGUGCAAAGGCAUAAGGGUGUCUGACUGCGAGACAGACAGGUCGAGCAGGGACGAAAGUCGGGCUUAGUGAUCCGGCGGUGCCGAAUGGAAGGGCCGUCGCUCAACGGAUAAAAGCUACCCUGGGGAUAACAGGCUGAUCUCCCCCAAGAGUUCACAUCGACGGGGAGGUUUGGCACCUCGAUGUCGGCUCAUCGCAUCCUGGAGCUGAAGUCGGUUCCAAGGGUUGGGCUGUUCGCCCAUUAAAGCGGUACGCGAGCUGGGUUCAGAACGUCGUGAGACAGUUCGGUCCCUAUCUGUCGUGGGCGCAGGAGGUCUGAGGAGAGCUGUCCCCAGUACGAGAGGACCGGGGCGGACGGACCGAUGGUGGACCAGUUGUCGCGCCAGCGGCACAGCUGGGUAGCCAAGUCCGGAAGGGAUAAGCGCUGAAGGCAUCUAAGUGCGAAGCCCCCUCCGAGAUGAGACCUCCCACCGAAAGGGUAAGGCCCCUUGAAGACGACGAGGUGGAUAGACCGGGAGUGCAAGCACGGUGACGUGCUGAGCGGACCGGCACUAAUAGGCCGAGGACCUGACCGG